rnacentral:rRNA from 1 species
UUGGAACAGCGGUUAGGAGCUUACACCCACCCGUGUUUACAUACUAUUGUUGCUUUGGCGGGCCGUGGCCUCCACUGCGGGCUCUGCUCGUGUGUGCCCGCCAGAGAACCAAACUCUGAAUGUUAGUGAUGUCUGAGUACUAUCUAAUAGUUAAAACUUUCAACAACGGAUCUCUUGGUUCUGGCAUCGAUGAAGAACGCAGCGAAAUGCGAUAAGUAAUGUGAAUUGCAGAAUUCAGUGAAUCAUCGAAUCUUUGAACGCACAUUGCGCCCUGUGGUAUUCCGCAGGGCAUGCCUGUUCGAGCGUCAUUUAACCACUCACGCCUAGCGUGGUAUUGGGGCACGCGGUCUCCGCGGCCCUCAAAAUUAGUGGCGGCGCCGGUGGGCUCUAAGCGUAGUACAUACUCCCGCUAUAGAGUCCCCCCGGUGGCUCGCCAGAACCCCCAAUUUUUACAGGUUGACCUCGGAUCAGGUAGGGAUACCCGCUGAACUUAAGCAUAUCAAUAA